AUGAAAUACAUCCGGGAGCUAGAGGAAUGCAAGCCCAAGCAGGUGAAUACAACAUCAGUUCCUAACCAGGAUCCGGUUAUUCCACGCUGGAUCCCUCCACCUCCUGGUUGUGUCAAAAUACGAGUGGAUGGGGCUGUUGCUAGAAAUCAGAAUGAAGGUUCCGUUAGUGCGAUAUACAGAGAUGCGGCGGGAGUUUAUUUGGGCUCCUCUGUCAUCAGAAUUCAUGGAAUUAUAAACCCGGCCACGCUAGAAGCUCUAGCGUGCCGGGAGGCUCUUGCUCUUGCUUCCGAUCUAGCACUCUCACAAGUGAUUAUAGCUUCUGACUGCCAGGGUGUGAUCAAGGAUAUUCAGAAUCAAAUUGGAGGAAUGUAUGCAAGCAUCAUCAAGGAGAUAGUAGAGACUGCUAGAGAUAUCAAAGGCUGUUCCUUCAUCUUUGAAGGUAGAACGCCCAGAUUAGCUGAAGUCGUUCGCUGCAAAGCGUUCCCUAGCGAACGCUCACUUUUUUUUCUCCCAAAAAAUUUGUGCAAGGUGUGA
rnacentral:rRNA from 1 species